GACGAACGCUGGCGGCGCGCUUAACACAUGCAAGUCGAACGGAAAGGCCUGCUUUCCCUUGUGGAUUGCGGGUACUCGAGUGGCGAACGGGUGAGUAACACGUGAGUGAUCUGCCCCCAACUUGGGUAUAAGCCUGGGAAACUGGGUCUAAUUCCCGAUAGGACUGCAGGGUGGUGCCUGUGGUGGAAAACGAUUUUCUAGUGGUUGGGGAUGAGCUCGCGGCCUAUCAGCUUGUUGGUGGGGUAAUGGCCUACCAAGGCGGCGACGGGUAGCCGGCCUGGGAGGGUGGACGGGCACAUUGGGACUGAGAUACGGCCCAGACUCCUACGGGAGGCAGCAGUGGGGAAUAUUGCACAAUGGGCGGAAGCCUGAUGCAGCGACGCCGCGUGGGGGAUGACGGCCUUCGGGUUGUAAACUCCUUUCGACCGCGAGGAAGCCACCUGGUUGGAAGGGUGGUGACGGUAGUGGUAGAAGAAGCACCGGCUAACUACGUG
rnacentral:rRNA from 1 species